rnacentral:rRNA from 1 species
AUUGAACGCUGGCGGCAUGCCUUACACAUGCAAGUCGAACGGCAGCACGGGUGCUUGCACCUGGUGGCGAGUGGCGAACGGGUGAGUAAUACAUCGGAACAUGUCCUGUAGUGGGGGAUAGCCCGGCGAAAGCCGGAUUAAUACCGCAUACGAUCUACGGAUGAAAGCGGGGGACCUUCGGGCCUCGCGCUAUAGGGUUGGCCGAUGGCUGAUUAGCUAGUUGGUGGGGUAAAGGCCUACCAAGGCGACGAUCAGUAGCUGGUCUGAGAGGACGACCAGCCACACUGGGACUGAGACACGGCCCAGACUCCUACGGGAGGCAGCAGUGGGGAAUUUUGGACAAUGGGCGAAAGCCUGAUCCAGCAAUGCCGCGUGUGUGAAGAAGGCCUUCGGGUUGUAAAGCACUUUUGUCCGGAAAGAAAUCCUUGGCUCUAAUACAGCCGGGGGAUGACGGUACCGGAAGAAUAAGCACCGGCUAACUACGU